GAAAACAUCUAUAAAUUGCUCAGCUUGGAGUCUUGCACUUAGUAAGUGCUUAAUGAGGAGUAGCCAUCGUGACUGUUGCGGCUGUCACCAUCCACCAGCUGGUAUCCACCUGCAUCCUGGCCUAGCUUUGUCCCUGGGUCUGUCCGGCCCCCAGGUGACAGGGUCAUUCCUCGAUUUCCAGCCUGGAAGCUUUCCAAGGGCUGGGCCCGCAGGCAUGGUCUCCCUGCUGUAGCUGCUCCAGGAAGUGAAGGUGCUAGGAAAGCUGCUGAGGAGGGCUUGCACUUGGGAGCCUCUGGGGGGCUCUGCAGAGGCCCCAGGGACCUGCAGAGCCUGCAGUUGGCAGGAAGGAUUCCAGCAACAAGAAAUUCCCGCUCUGUCUCAGGGGUCCCAGCUUUCUCCAGACCCCAGGGGAGCAGUUGGGAAUUAGCCAACAGUGUCAUUAUACCAAUGAAAUAUGGCGGUGUGCCUGGUGCUUGGCCCAUGGUAGGGAAGAAGGGCUGGAAAUGGAGUUAAUAAUUGAUCCUGCCUGUGUGAAGUCCAAUACUUUGGCCACCUGAUGCAAAGAACCGACUCAUUAGAAAAGACCGUGAUGCUGGGAAAGAUUGAGGCAGGAGGAGAAGGGGACGACAGAAGAUGAGAUGGUUGGAUGGCAUCACCAACUUGAUGGACAUGAGUUUGAGCAAGCUCUGGGAGUUGGUGAUGGACGAGGGAGGCCUGGUGUGCUGCGGUCCAUAGGGUCACAAAGAGUUGGACAUGCCUGAGUGACUGAACUGGACUGAAUUGAUGUGAAGAAGUCUGCAUAAGAUCCCAAGAGAAGGGUGUUUGGGAAGCUUCCAAACUGCAGAAAACAUCCAUGAAUGGGGCUGGGGAAGGUGACGCAAUCUAACUUCAUGGGGACAGAAGUUUCUGCUCUUGGGACCUACCCACACCUCACCCCAAGUGUUUCUUCAUCUGGCUGUCUACUUUUUUGAAAAAAAAAAAAAAAAAAUCACAUCCUUUACUAAACAGAGUCAACAUUCUCUAAAUGUCUAUAUCAGCAAAUAAAGGAAUGAGAGAAGUGGCUUGCCCAAG
ensembl:lncRNA